rnacentral:rRNA from 16 species
AUCUCAGAUUAAGUAAGACUACCCGCUGAAUUUAAGCAUAUAAUUAAGCGGAGGAAAAGAAACUAACAAGGAUCCCCCUAGUAAGGGCGACUGAAGCGGGGAUAGCUCACCGUGUGAAUCUGUGCAACUUGCGGCGUCUAGCACGCACAAGUGCACCGAAUUGUGGUCUGAAGAGGUAGCAUCGGCCGUUGUCCCGGGCCAAGUCCCUUGGAAAAGGGCAGCUGAGAGGGUGAGACUCCCGUUCUUGCCUGGGAUGGACGUGCCUUAGCAUGCGCCUUCUACGAGUCGAGUUGCUUGGGAUUGCAGCUCAAAGUGGGUGGUAAAUUCCAUCUAAAGCUAAAUAUUGGUGGGAGACCGAUAGCGUACAAGUACCGUGAGGGAAAGAUGCAAAGAACUUUGAAAAGAGAGUUAAAGAGUACCUGAACUCGUUGGGGGGAAAGCGUUUGCUUCCAGUGUGUGCGCGUCAAUUCAGCCUCAUCGGUGUACUUUGGCGCGCACGGUCAGGGUGGGUUUGGCGCGGCGUUGAUGUCCCCCGCGAGGUCUUCGGGCAACCGGGUGGUCGUGCGUCGCUCUGGACCGAGGCUCGCUCUCGUGCGGGGUCGGCUGAUCUUGCUCGCGUCUCACAAGAACUUGUGCUCGCAGCAGGUGACUCCCUACCCGUGUAUAGCGUGACCCUGCCGAAAUGGGCGCAACCGACCCGUCUAGUAACACGGACCAAGGAGUCUGACGACUGCGCGAGUCUUUGGGUGGCAACCCCAUGGGCGUAAUGAAAGUGAAUGAUGUUCAGCAUCGACCGACCGUGAUCUCCUGUGACUGGUUUGAGUAUGAGCGUGCUCGUCGGGACCCGAAAGAUGGUGAACUAUGCCUGAGUAGGGUGAAGCCUGAAGAAAUUCAGGUGGAGGCUCGUAGCGAUACUGACGUGCAAAUCGUUCGUCGAACUUGGGUAUAGGGGCGAAAGACUAAUCGAACC